rnacentral:rRNA from 1 species
UACGAAGGGGGGCUAGCGUUGCUCGGAAUCACUGGGCGUAAAGGGCGCGUAGGCGGAUCUUUAAGUCGGGGGUGAAAGCCCAGGGCUCAACCCUGGAAUUGCCUUCGAUACUGAAGAUCUCGAGACCGGAAGAGGUAAGUGGAACUGCGAGUGUAGAGGUGAAAUUCGUAGAUAUUCGCAAGAACACCAGUGGCGAAGGCGGCUUACUGGUCCGGUUCUGACGCUGAGGCGCGAAAGCGUGGGGAGCAAACAGG